UACGGGAGUGGCAAGCGUUAUCCGGAAUUAUUGGGCGUAAAGCGUCCGCAGGCGGCCCAACAAGUCUGCUGUUAAAAAGUGGAGCUUAACUCCAUCAUGGCAGUGGAAACUGUUGGGCUAGAGUGUGGUAGGGGCAGAGGGAAUUCCCGGUGUAGCGGUGAAAUGCGUAGAUAUCGGGAAGAACACCAGUGGCGAAGGCGCUCUGCUGGGCCAUCACUGACGCUCAUGGACGAAAGCCAGGGGAGCGAAAGGGAUUAGAUACCCCUGUAGUCCUGGCCGUAAACGAUGAACACUAGGUGUCGGGGGAAUCGACCCCUCCGGUGUCGUAGCCAACGCGUUAAGUGUUCCGC
rnacentral:rRNA from 1 species